rnacentral:lncRNA from 1 species
GGUUCAGUGUUAUGACUUGUAACUGAACUUAGGGCUUAAGGUCACUAAGAUAUCUAACGACUGUAUUUGGAAUCAUCCUAGACUGCAGAAUGUAGAUUUUAAGCCAAAGAUCAUAUGUAUGUUUUAGGUCCCUCACUACUAUGCCAAAGUUGUUUUUUGAGUUUUAUACAGUCACAGUUCAGCCUCUACCUCUCAGGCUCAGGAGAUCCACCCCCAUGCCCAGCUAAUUUUUUUUAGACAGUGUUUCCCCUUGUUGCCCAGGUUGGUUUUGAACUCCUGCACUCAGGCAAUCCACCCCCUCGGCCUCCCAAAUUGCUGGAAUUAGAGGCAUGAGCCACUUUGCCUAGCCCAAAAUUACCUUUUUAUGAAAUAUUUUUGUAUGAUCUCUAAGUUGAACAGUUCUGCAUUCCAAAUCAGUGACUAUGCCUGAUCCCAAAAGACAUUUAUCAAAAAGGAGUGUGGAUUGGGUAGAUGCAUAAAAGGCACAAAAGAUUAAAGGAAGAAAGGACUUUUGCUUCCAGGUAAGAUGGAGUAACGGACUAGAUUUAACCUCCCACUUGAAAUAACGAAAAAUCAGAAACUAUCUCUCAAGAAAAUGGACAUCGAGCAAUUAAGGACAAUGACAUGAGAAAUAAGACACAGAUGAGUCCUAUGAUUGCCUGACUCCCUGCUUCAUAACAGAUUCCAGUCAGGGAGGGAACAUCUGGAUAGAGCCCAUGGACAUCCUUGAUGUGAGGUGGAAGUGGAACAUUGAAGAAAUAAAUGUACCUGGAGUUUACAGAGCAGAAGACCAGAGAGGAGAGUGCUGCACAGAAACUCUGAAAAGCUGCAGAGGCGUCCCCACCACGUGUUCAGUGCACUAAGCAGCAUGUGCUUGUAAGGAAACUACCUGCAGCCAGGCAACGAAUCACUCAAACAAAAGGAAAGAAAGUGCCCAGAACUCACCGUGCCAGGAACAGUGUCUUGUCCUGGUCCCAACAGCCAGAGUGGAAAACCUCAUGAUCCAUGGGCAUUUGUAAAAGAACCAAGAAGAGCCUUGCCUCAGUAGUGGGGAAAAUUAACCAUAUACUAAAUGCUACUCUGUUCCUGCAUAACAAAGGUAAAAGACACGAAAAGAUCAAACUAUAAACAUGCUAACCACAUGCCAGAACAAAGCUCAAGAAUGUUUUUAGAAAUCCCAAAAUUAUGCAGGACCUAAAAAGGUAAAAUUCAGAAUGUAUGGCAUUCAAAAACAAAUUAUCAGAAAUUCAAGAAGCAGGAAGAUACAGUCAAAACUGACUGUAAAAUUAUGUAACAUGGGAGUCAAUUUUCAUGAUCUUGGAUCAAAUAGUUUCUUAGAUAUGACACCAAAGCAUAUGCAAUAAAAGAAAAAAAUAGACAAAUUUAACUUAAAACCUUUACGCUUCAAGACACCAUCAAGAAGGUGAAAAGACAAGUCUGAGAAAAUAUUUCCUAAUCAUGUCAGAUAAAGGACUGAUACCAGACUUUAACUCUUACAACUCAAUACAAAGGUCAAUAAUCCAGUUGAAAUGGGGGCAAAAGAUCAGAAUAGACAUUUCACUGAAGAAGUUACAUAAAUGGCCAAUAAGCACAUGAAAGAAAGCUCAACAUUAGUCAUUAGAGAAAUGCAAAUCAAAACUGCAGGGUACCACCAUACACUAGGAUGGCUAUACUAAAAAAGACGGAAGUGUUGGCUAAUAUGUGAAGGAACUGGAAUCUUUACAUAUUGCCGGAGAGAAUGUAAAAUGUAUUCAGUGUGGGAAUGUUUGGCAGUUCCUUGGAGUGUUAAAACAGAUUGACCAUAUGUUAUGAACUGAACGCUUCCUGUCAAAAUUCAUAUGUGGAAGCCCUAAACCCAAGCCAACUAUAUGACUCCAAAAUUCUACCCCCCACAAGAAAUAAAACCCA